rnacentral:rRNA from 1 species
UACAGAGGGUGCGAGCGUUAAUCGGAAUUACUGGGCGUAAAGCGUGCGUAGACGGUUUCGUAAGUCGGGUGUGAAAUCCCCGGGCUCAACCUGGGAAUUGCAUUCGAAACUGCGAGGCUAGGGUACGGAAGAGGGAAGCGGAAUUUCUGGUGUAGCGGUGAAAUGCGUAGAUAUCGGAAGGAACAUCAGUGGCGAAGGCGACUUCCUGGACCAAUACUGACGCUCAGGUGCGAAAGCGUGGGGAGCAAACAGG